rnacentral:rRNA from 1 species
GACGAACGCUGGCGGCGUGCCUAAUACAUGCAAGUCGAACGCAGUGGGGACGGGUGAGUAACAAGUGGGUAAAAUGCCCAUCAGAGGGGAUAAAACUUGGAAACAGGUGCUAAACCGAUACUGAUGGAUGGACCCGCUGUGCAUUAGCUAGUUGGUGAGGUAACGGCUCACCAAGGACACGAUGCAUAGCCGACCUGUGAUGGUGAUCGGCCACACUUGGACUGAGACACGGCCCAGACUCCUACGGGAGGCAGCAGUAGUGAAUCUUCGGCAAUGGACGAAAGUCUUACCGAGCAACGCCGCGUGAGUGAAGAAGGUUUUCGUAUCUUAAAACUCUGUUGUUAGAGAAGCGGUAUCUAACCAGAAAGCCACGGCUAACUACGUGCCAGCAGCCGCGGUAAUAC